CUUUUUUGCCAUAGAUAUUAUUUUUUUAUCUAAAGGUUUGAUUUUGUUCUUACCUCACAAAUAUACUUCUUUUAAUAUCAAUAUUUUUUAUUGCAUAUAACUUUAAAUAUUAAUCUAAAUUUUUUCUCAAAAAUUAUUGGAUUAUUUUUUUUCUUAUCCUACCUUAUUUUUUAAUCUUUAUGGUUGUACAAAGUAAGUAGAAGCUAUUUUCAUCAAAAGAAUAGCAUAAAACAUCAAAAUGUUAAUCAUGCUCAAUCAACUAGCUACAAAUUCUUUAAAAAUUAUAUAUCUAUUUAUUUUAUUAUUUAAGUCUUUUUUACACAUUUUGAUCUUCAUCCAAAUUUUUACUAAAUAGUCAUGUUACAAGAUAAAUAUAAAAAUAUAAUAAAAGAUAUAGAAAGUAGAAAAGAUUGCAUAUUUGACUAUCUAAAUU
rnacentral:lncRNA from 1 species